UCUAAGCAUCAGGUAACAUUAAAUCGUACCCCAAACCGACACAGGUGGUCAGGUAGAGAAUACCAAGGCGCUUGAGAGAACUCGGGUGAAGGAACUAGGCAAAAUGGUGCCGUAACUUCGGGAGAAGGCACGCUGGUGUGUAGGUGAAGUCCCUGCGGAUGGAGCUGAGACCAGUCGAAGAUACCAGCUGGCUGCAACUGUUUAUAAAAAACACAGCACUGUGCAAACACGAAAGUGGACGUAUACGGUGUGACGCCUGCCCGGUGCCGGAAGGUUAAUUGAUGGGGUUAUCCGUAAGG
rnacentral:rRNA from 1 species